rnacentral:rRNA from 1 species
GAUGAACGCUGGCGGCGUGCCUAAUACAUGCAAGUCGAGCGAACGGACGCGAAGCUUGCUUCUUUGAUGUUAGCGGCGGACGGGUGAGUAACACGUGGAUAACCUACCUAUAAGACUGGGAUAACUUCGGGAAACCGGAGCUAAUACCGGAUAAUAUUUUGAACCGUAUGGUUCAAUAGUGAAAGACGGUCUUGCUGUCACUUAUAGAUGGAUCCGCGCUGCAUUAGCUAGUUGGUAAGGUCACGGCUUACCAAGGCAACGAUGCAUAGCCGACCUUAGAGGGUGAUCGGCCACACUGGAAGUGAGACGGGGACCAUGCUCCUGCGGGAGGCAGCAGUAGGGAAUCUUCCGCAAUGGGCGAAAACCUGACAGAGCAGCGCCGCGUGAGUGAUGACGGUCUUCGGAUCGUAAAGAUCUGUUAUUAGGUGAGAACAGAUGUGUAAGUAACUGUGCCCGUCUUGACGGUACCUGAUCAGAAAGCCACGGCUAACUACGUG